CCUACGGGAGGCAGCAGUGCGGCAUAUUGGUCAAUGGCCGGGAGGCUGAACCAGCCAAGUCGCGGGAGGGAAGACGGCCCUACGGGUUGUAAACCUCUUUUGUCAGGGAGCAAGGUGCAGGUCGGGAACUGCUGUGCGAGUACCUGACGAAAAAGCAUCGGCUAACUCCGUGCCAGCAGCCGCGGUAAUACGGAGGUUGCGAGCGUUAUCCGGAAUUAUUGGGGUUAAAGGGUGCGCAGGCGGGUCUGCAAGUCUGGGGUGAAACGCCUGGGCUCAACUCAGGCAUGGCGGUGGAAACUGGGGGACUGGAGAGCAGGAGAGGGCGGUGGAACUCGUUGUGUAGCGGUAAAAUGCGUAGAUAUAUGGAAGAACACCAGUGGCGAAGGCGGCCGACUGGCCUGUUGCUGACGCUGAGGCACGAAAGCGUGGGGAGCAAAUAGGAUUAGAUACCCGGGUAGUC
rnacentral:rRNA from 1 species